GCUCUCGGGUGACGAGCGGCGGACGGGUGAGUAAUGUCUGGGAAACUGCCUGAUGGAGGGGGAUAACUACUGGAAACGGUAGCUAAUACCGCAUAAUGUCGCAAGACCAAAGUGGGGGACCUUCGGGCCUCAUGCCAUCAGAUGUGCCCAGAUGGGAUUAGCUAGUAGGUGGGGUAACGGCUCACCUAGGCGACGAUCCCUAGCUGGUCUGAGAGGAUGACCAGCCACACUGGAACUGAGACACGGUCCAGACUCCUACGGGAGGCAGCAGUGGGGAAUAUUGCACAAUGGGCGCAAGCCUGAUGCAGCCAUGCCGCGUGUGUGAAGAAGGCCUUCGGGUUGUAAAGCACUUUCAGCGGGGAGGAAGGCGUUGAGGUUAAUAACCUUGUCGAUUGACGUUACCCGCAGAAGAAGCACCGGCUAACUCCGUGCCAGCAGCCGCGGUAAUACGGAGGGUGCAAGCGUUAAUCGGAAUUACUGGGCGUAAAGCGCACGCAGGCGGUCUGUCAAGUCGGAUGUGAAAU
rnacentral:rRNA from 1 species